UACGUAGGGGGCAAGCGUUGUCCGGAAUCACUGGGCGUAAAGGGCUCGUAGGCGGCCAACUAAGUCGGAUGUGAAAUCCCCAGGCUCAACCUGGGAACUGCAUCCGAUACUGGAUGGCUUGAAUUCGGGAGAGGGAUGCAGAAUUCCAGGUGUAGCGGUGAAAUGCGUAGAUAUCGUAAGGAAGACCAGUGGCGAAGGCGGGUCUCAGGACAGUUCCUGACGCUGAGGCACGAAGGCCAGGGGAGCAAACGGG
rnacentral:rRNA from 1 species